rnacentral:piRNA from 1 species
UGGCCAUAAGGAUAGGUUUCUACAUUGC